rnacentral:rRNA from 1 species
UACGAAGGGGGCUAGCGUUGUUCGGAAUUACUGGGCGUAAAGCGCACGUAGGCGGACUGAUAAGUCAGGGGUGAAAUCCCGGGGCUCAACCUCGGAACUGCCUUUGAUACUGCAAAUCUCGAGUCCGAUAGAGGUGGGUGGAAUUCCUAGUGUAGAGGUGAAAUUCGUAGAUAUUAGGAAGAACACCGGUGGCGAAGGCGGCCCACUGGAUCGGUACUGACGCUGAGGUGCGAAAGCGUGGGGAGCAAACAGG